rnacentral:rRNA from 1 species
GACGAACGCUGGCGGCGUGCUUAACACAUGCAAGUCGAACGGAAAGGCCCUGCUUUUGUGGGGUGCUCGAGUGGCGAACGGGUGAGUAACACGUGAGUAACCUACCCUUGACUUUGGGAUAACUUCAGGAAACUGGGGCUAAUACCGGAUAGGAGCUCCUGCUGCAUGGUGGGGGUUGGAAAGUUUCGGCGGUUGGGGAUGGACUCGCGGCUUAUCAGCUUGUUGGUGGGGUAGUGGCUUACCAAGGCUUUGACGGGUAGCCGGCCUGAGAGGGUGACCGGCCACAUUGGGACUGAGAUACGGCCCAGACUCCUACGGGAGGCAGCAGUGGGGAAUAUUGCACAAUGGGCGGAAGCCUGAUGCAGCAACGCCGCGUGCGGGAUGACGGCCUUCGGGUUGUAAACCGUUUUCGCCUGUGACGAAGCGUGAGUGACGGUAAUGGGUAAAGAAGCACCGGCUAACUACGUG